GAGAAUGAGAGACAGACGCAAAUUGAGACUAGGGUUUGUGAGUCCACUCGCGCAAAUUGAGACUAGGGUUUGAUAAUAACCACACACGCAUGGGCCCGGAGUGGGAGCGAGCGAGUUUGUGAGUCGAUUGAAUACUACAAUGCAAGGCUUCAUGGACUCCUCUUCAACGUGUCAAUAUACCUGCCCUUCUUCCUAGCAUCAUUACCAGAAAUAUGGUCAAGAAAACUUUUCAAGCUGCCUUCAUUGUAGGCCAAGGGGUGUUCAUCAUCUAUCAGCUCAGGUGCCGGUCCAACUUUCUUCUCCAAAGCUAGGCUAUGAAGGCUGGCGAUUGAAAUCCGUGUCCUCUCCUUGUUCAAAGUUGCUCUGUGCAGAACACUCUUGUACCUUCCAUUGCUCAUCACUUCCAUUUGAUCUCCCACCUGGACUACUAGUGCCCCUUCAAUGAGCGGAACUGGGUGCCAAUUGUUAUUCUUGUCCAUGAUUUGGAGUCCUGGUUGGCUUUGGAUUAAAAUCGUGAGGGACCCAUAAUCUGAGUGAGGUGGAAUUCCUAGGGCUAGGUCUGGUUCAGGACAAGCCGGGUAGCAGUUGACAGCCAUAACUUGCGAGCCUUUUUCGAAGUCUUCAUGUAGGUAAUCUGCGUUUAGCCCUAAGCUCUGAAGAACUGCUUCCAUUAGUUGCUUUUGUAAUGCUCUCACGGCCUUUGCAUAGUUUCCCAUUUUCUCCCUGUUGGAGAAAAGCACAGUUAGUGUAGAAAAAUGAUUCAUUCAACUAAAUUUUACAGGUUGUUGAAGAUGUGCUGUAAUGAUAUGUUUUCUAAUUUGGUAGGGCAAUACCACGCGAGUGUAGGGCUGUCCAUCCACCCGACCCGAAAAUAGACACAACGGACGGAUUUGAUCAGUCAUUUGGGUCGGAUUCGGGUUGUUUUUGUCGGAUUUUUGAUUUAGUCGGUUGGGUGUCGGGUGACACCAUAUAAUUUUUCGGGUGACCCGACCGACCGAAAUCAGAUGUAUAAAACGAAAAAAAAUCCCCAAUUUUACUCCAUUCAAUCCGCAUCUCGCCGUCUUCUGUUCUCUCUUUCAACCCCUCUCCUCCACCUCGACUCUUCUUCGUCUCGCACGCCACCAGGACCACACCCUUGCACCUCCAUUGCUUCUCUCUCUCUCUCUCUCUAUGAAAUGGAGUCCCCUUACAAGAUGACGAUGACAAGACCAAACGCCAGCUUCCCCACCACUCCUCCGCCAACAACAGCGGCAGCUCCACCUCGUCCUCGUCGCAAUCAUUCCCAGCCGCCUGGGCCUACCUUGCCCGAUUCCUCCUCCGCCAGCCGUCGCCUCCUUCACCACCUCUGGGCCACUGUAAUUUUGGAAAAAAAUUUGAUUUUUAGGAAAAAGGUGUGUAGAUCUGUGAUUUUGAAUGGUGAUUUUGAAAUAUUAUGUUGUUAAUCGUGAUUGGGAGCUGAUUUGUGUGAAUGUGAUUAUGAGUUUCGAUCUCUCUCUCUCUCUCCUAACAUUUCUGUAGCUUCUUCUUUUUUCUUUUUUAAAAUCUGAUGACCCGAUCGAACCCGAUAUCUCCAACCUGACCACGUUUCGGUCGGAGCCUGACCAGUGUUUCGGUCAGUCUCGGGUGGUCAUUUCGGCAAUCCGACCAAGGUCGGGUCGGGUCCAACCCGACCCCGACCCGUGGACAGCCCUAUGCAAGUGUGAUUUUUUUGUUUCUUUGGACAGUAUCUGUUUAUCUACCACUAACUUUAGAUAUUGGUCAUUGCCAUGUCUUCUUCAUAAUUUCAAAGAAAAUCACAUGCAUUAGUUAGUAACAUGAUAAUAUAUAGUGUAUUGAUUGCCUGGUGAUUUGUAGGAGACUAAAUUUCCCCCCUUAGAAUCUUUAAUUUGCUUCUAAAACUAGUUCGCAUAAUGGAAAACAUCAAGCUUUCUUCAAGAAAAACCUACUUGUAGCUUGGGGGGUUUGAAGGCCACAGAUGGAUCCAGGUGGAGAUGGGAUAAGAGUAAUGCUUGAUGAAGUCUCUCCAAAACUGGACUUCGUCUUCAACAUGAUUCAGACUUGUGCCGUACCUUACUGGCUUAUGAACAUCAGCAGAUGCGAGAUGCAUUUUCUCCUCACUAGGCAAGUUAAAGAACUCUGUUGCAGUGUCUAUGGCAUCAUUAACAUACGUUGAGGGAAUCCCAUGGUUAAUCACCUGUUAACAUAUGCAAGUUUUUAUGUAAACUUAGACGAUAACAUUGCAUUAAUGCAUGCUUGCAAGUAGAUUACACAUAAUAUCAUAUUCGUUAACUUGAUACAUUUUUUUUUUUCAGAUCUUAAUCAUCACACACAUAAUGUACUUAGGGUCGUAGAAGGAAAAGCAGUACGUGUUGAAGACAAAUAGUUCCCAUCCUUGAACAGCUUAAGCUUUUUCGGAGUACAAUACAAGAACGGCACAGGCAUCAUGGUAACUCUGUAAAGGAUACCUGGAAGAAACUGAGUUCCUUGCAGGCCACAUGGAUUUCCUCGAUGACCCGAGGCCUAAGUGAAGGGUUGUGGAGGGAGGAAAUGUCUAUAACGGGUAAGGGGGUGGUGGUGGUGGAGGGGUUCAAGCGGAGGCUGCGGCCUGGUCGUUCGGAGGGAGGCAGAACAAAACGGCGAGGGACUUGGGCCACUCCUAUUUGGUUUAGUGUAAUUGCACUAGUAAAUGAAUUUGUUUCUGAGCUCUUUCCCUCGUCUCCCAUUCUCUCUCUUUCUUCCACUUGUGAAUCUUACUUGGAGGCCUAGCCACUGGCCUUCCCCUAUUUAUAGCAAGAAGCAUGAGAUAUUUCGAAUGGAA